CCCCUCUGCAAGACCACACUCUCUCACCCCUCUUGCUCGUUCUCUCCGCCACAUCGUCGCAGCCGCCAACCCUCUCCGCCACGCCGUCCCAGCCGCCACAACUCCCCACCUUGGCACGUCCCUGCCUCCUCCCAUCCCCUCCACUCCUCGGUCCCCGCCACAGCUAUCUGUUUCGGCCGGGUCCAGUGAGCAAUGGUGAGACCAGGUGUCGCGGUGAGCAGCCGGAUCCGGCCGUCGGCGAGCCGCGCCGUGGAUCUAGCCAUCCCAGGGCGAUUUCCGGAGCCGAGGGCGACUUGAAGAUUUCUACCUCAAGCUGAGCCGCGCCGUCGAUCUGGCCAACCCAGGCUGAGUUGCUGGCUUGCUGCCUGUUGGCCUGCUACACAGCCUACUGAUAGUAUGCUCGGUAUUUGACAGGGAAAUCACACAGCGAAGGUUGGAGACUGAUGCGGAUGCGCGCAAGGGCAACGUUGGAUGACACCUAGAAGAGCAAGCACAGUGCAGCGAAGGAAGUACCGAGCUUCGGCAGCACUACACCAUCGUCCUCUGCCUCACCGAGCACAUCAAUUUCAUGAGAUGAUCAACUCCCCGCAUAGACCCGCUUCAAGGGAGGAGGAUGCAGAGGCCAGCAACAAGGAGCGGGUGUGGGUGCUCAUCCUCGCCGCUGACCACAAGUGCUGCGACAAACUUUGGGCAGAAUUCGAUCCCUCCACGGCACAAUAUGGAUAAAGAGUUCUCGUUCAUUCCCUAUCGAGAUUAGCCUACGGAUUAUCCGAGACACCAUCAGAGAAGAUGGAGUUGUCCAUCCUUUAUGCUUCAAUCUUACAGUUCGUAAGAUUAGCAGUGACGCAUCAGAGAGGAGCGCAGGCACCAACUCUAUUGGAAGGACACACUAUUUUAAUCUGCAAUUUCAUAAGCAAGCAUGGGCACUAAGGCAGACCUGGUUAACCCAAGAAUAGGGCACCCAGACUCUUAUUGAGACCGUCGUGCUAGAGCCUUUUCCUAAAUACUACGUGUUCCACGCCCCUACAAUUUACCUUCUCCCACUGGCACCCGUGGAUUCAUCCUACGGGCUAUUUGCAGUGAAAAUGGAUAUGGACAGGACUGUCAUUAUUGACUAUUCAAACCAGGCAUUAUUUGAUUUUGAGGAGGAGUUUCAUGACAUAGAACUUCAGAGAGAAGCUCUAUUAGUUAAGCAAGAAUUCAAUGUUAUUCUCCAACAAGGGGCCCCUGAUAGGAACAACCAGAUUUUGGAAUGGCCUGAACAAGUUAACAUUCAUGUCUCACAUCGGCGCAUGGACUCUGGAUUUAAAGUUUUACAGGAGAUGGCCAACCUGUACGGAACUAUGGGGUAUGACAUCACUACUAGAAAUCCCCAUAUUUCCGAUGGUGAAAUCUAAUAGCCGACGGACUGUCGGGUAUUACAGUAAUAGCUGACGGUAGUUAUAAUGGCCGAUGGUUACUGUCAACUCACGAGUAUUACCACUAAUACCCGACGGUAUACUAGAAUGCCUGACGGUGAAAAUUCACCCCUCGGAUAUCCAACUUAAUGCCCGACGGUUCAUCGUAAAACCCGACGGUUUUUCCUACACCCACAGGGAUUACAUGUAAUGCCCGACGGGUUUCCCUACACCCACGGGGAUUACAUGUAAUGCCCGACGGGUUUCCCUACACCCACGGGGAUUACAUGUAAUGCCCGACUGUUAAUUGUAAUGCCCGACGGUUUUUGGUACACCCUCGGGGAUUACAUGUAAUGCCCGACGGUUUCUGCCACACCCACGGGGAUUACAUGUAAUGCCCGACGGUGAAAUUUAAUAGCCGAAGGUGAAAACAAAACUCUGACCUAUGAGAGGACAUGGCUGGUGGUAGAUAUGUGCCUCUUGGUUAUUUGAGAAAAUACCCGAUGGUGUAUAGUGAUAACCGGCGUUUGACUUUCCCUCUCCAUGAUAUGUUUCAAUGGACAACAUAUGUAGAACGGCCGAUAUUAUAUUCCAGAUAAUUCAGAAGAUUCCAAGAACUAACAUCUAGGAUACCCGAGUGCAUUAUGUUCUUUUUCACAAUUAAUAUAUAGGAUGCUUAAAAAUUGGUACAAGAUAAUACAAAUAUGAUGUUUAAAAAAAUUGCACUUACAAAAGUACUAGUUUGCUAAUUUCUUGGUCAUGUACUUCUGUAACUUGCCUUGAACGUAUCUUUGGUUUUUCUAAUAAAUGCAACUUUGUCUAGAAGGACCCCGACCUUCAUGUAUAUUAUUAAUUAACUGUAAAUGUGUCGUGAAGUAUUAUUAACAUCUUGAAUUAUAACGAGGAUGAGUGUUGUAUUUUAAAAUUAAGAAAGUGAAAUGCUAUGCAUACGAUCCUAUACAUACAUAUGAUCCUUUUUGUCCGAAGCAGUGUGACCAUUCUUUUUCCUCCCAACCAAGAAAGUAAAAGGGAGGCAUCACCCUUUCUACAAAGAGUCUGCCACAUGGAGCGAGGCAUUACCGUUUCAAAGUGCUGCCGUCCCCUGCAUCGGUUGCUCAUCGUCUUCAGAUCCUUCCCCGACAAGUCGAUCGGCCCUAUGGUUGGGGGUGGUUUCGAAAACCAGCCUUUUCAAGCAAGGAUUGUGUGGCGGCGGCAUCCUCGUGGUGGACAUGUGUCCUCGGGCCGGCGUCUGCCCCAACAUCGGUGCGGAGCUUGGGAGGUACGUAGUUCAGGAGCGGAUGUAGAUUGUGGACUACAUCGACGACAUCUGGAAGACGGAAUAUGUGAUGGGUUCGUGGUUGAUGGAUGGAAAGUGUGGUUUCCUCCUUCGACGUCUUAGUUGUGGUGGGGUGCCAGACCUUGAGUUCGAUAGGGUGUCCGGGGGUGUUGCUCAGAUCUGAUUCCUUCAACGACAAUGACUUCAGUUUUGGUGAGCCACCUUGGAGGCCCACAAAGCUGCAUAUCAGCGAUGGAGCCGCGUCGAGUUUGGGUGAGGAGGUCAUCCGUCGUUCUUCUUUUCGGUGGCUGUUGUGGUCGUGCUGGGGCAGGUGACGGAGCGUUGGUGUCUAGCUCAGAGAUGUUUUGCUAUCUUUUCAGUUUUGUCAUGCCGGUCCUUACGUGGCUUGUAUUUUAAUCUUUAUGAUAUGAAUGAGACACGUAUUACCAUGCAAAAGAAAAAAA